CCUGGGUGUCAAAAGUGCUGUUUGUGCAGGUAGCUGACUCACCCGCCCUACUGCAAAACCAGCACUUCCCGACACCCCGA
rnacentral:pre_miRNA from 1 species